UACGUAGGCAGCGAGCGUUGUUCGGAGUUACUGGGCGUAAAGGGUGCGUAGGCGGUUGUUUAAGUUUGGUGUGAAAUCUCCCGGCUCAACUGGGAGGGUGCGCCGAAUACUGAAUGACUAGAGUGCGGGAGAGGAUAGUGGAAUUCCUGGUGUAGCGGUGAAAUGCGUAGAUAUCAGGAGGAACACCGGUGGUGUAGACGGCUAUCUGGACCGUAACUGACGCUGAGGCACGAAAGCGUGGGGAGCGAACGGG
rnacentral:rRNA from 1 species